GAGGAAUAUUGGUCAAUGGACGAGAGUCUGAACCAGCCAAGUAGCGUGAAGGAUGACUGCCCUAUGGGUUGUAAACUUCUUUUAUACGGGAAUAAAGUGAGGUACGUGUGCCUUUUUGUAUGUACCGUAUGAAUAAGGAUCGGCUAACUCCGCGCCAGCAGCCGCGGUAAUACGGAGGAUCCGAGCGUUAUCCGGAUUUAUUGGGUUUAAAGGGAGCGUAGGCGGACGCUUAAGUCAGUUGUGAAAGUUUGCGGCUCAACCGUAAAAUUGCAGUUGAUACUGGGUGUCUUGAGUACAGUAGAGGCAGGCGGAAUUCGUGGUGUAGCGGUGAAAUGCUUAGAUAUCACGAAGAACUCCGAUUGCGAAGGCAGCCUGCUGGACUGUAACUGACGCUGAUGCUCGAAAGUGUGGGUAUCAAACAGGAUUAGAUACCCUGGUAGUCCACACAGUAAACGAUGAAUACUCGCUGUUUGCGAUAUACAGUAAGCGGCCAAGCGAAAGCGUUAAGUAUUCCACCUGGGGAGUACGCCGGCAACGGUGAAACUCAAAGGAAUUGACGGGGGCCCGCACAAGCGGAGGAACAUGUGGUUUAAUUCGAUGAUACGCGAGGAACCUUACCCGGGCUUGAAUUGCAACUGAAUGAUGUGGAGACAUGUCAGCCGCAAGGCAGUUGUGAAGGUGCUGCAUGGUUGUCGUCAGCUCGUGCCGUGAGGUGUCGGCUUAAGUGCCAUAACGAGCGCAACCCUUAUCGAUAGUUACUAGCAGGUCAUGCUGAGGACUCUAUUGAGACUGCCGUCGUAAGAUGUGAGGAAGGUGGGGAUGACGUCAAAUCAGCACGGCCCUUACGUCCGGGGCUACACACGUGUUACAAUGGGGGGUACAGAAGGCAGCUACACGGCGACGUGGUGCUAAUCCCGAAAGCCUCUCUCAGUUCGGAUUGGAGUCUGCAACCCGACUCCAUGAAGCUGGAUUCGCUAGUAAUCGCGCAUCAGCCACGGCGCGGUGAAUACGUUCCCG
rnacentral:rRNA from 1 species